rnacentral:rRNA from 1 species
CCUACGGGAGGCAGCAGUCGAGAAUCAUUCACAAUGGGGGAAACCCUGAUGGUGCGACGCCGCGUGGGGGAAUGAAGGUCUUCGGAUUGUAAACCCCUGUCAUGUGGGAGCAAAUUAAAAAGAUAGUACCACAAGAGGAAGAGACGGCUAACUCGGUGCCAGCAGUCGCGGUAAUACAGCGGUCUCAAGCGUUGUUCGGAAUCACUGGGCGUAAAGCGUGCGGAGGCUGUUUCGUAAGUCGUGUGUGAAAGGCGCGGGCUCAACCCGCGGACGGCACCUGAUACUGCGAGACUAGAGUAAUGGAGGGGGAGCCGGAAUUCUCGGUGUAGCAGUGAAAUGCGUAGAUAUCGAGAGGAACACUCGUGGCGAAGGCGGGUUCCUGGACAUUAACUGACGCUGAGGCUCGAAAGCGUGGGGAGCAAACAGGAUUAGAUACCCCAGUAGUC